GACGAACCGUGCGAACGUUAUUCGGAAUCAUUGGGCUUAAAGGGCGCGUAGGCGGCGGUGUAAGUUGGAAGUGAAAUCCCAUCGGCUCAACCGUGGAAUUGCUCCCAGUACUGCACUGCUCGAGGGGAUAGGGGUCCGCGGAACUACCGGUGGAGCGGUGAAAUGUGUUGAUAUCGGUGGGAACGCCAGUGGCGAAAGCGGCGGACUUGACCCUUCCUGACGCUGAUGCGCGAAAGCUAGGGGAGCAACGGG
rnacentral:rRNA from 1 species